rnacentral:tRNA from 1 species
GGGUCCGUAGCUCAGUUGGUUAGAGCGUUACGUUGACAUCGUAAAGGUCUGUGGUUCAAGUCCACACGGACCCA